rnacentral:rRNA from 1 species
AUUGAACGCUGGCGGCAUGCCUUAUACAUGCAAGUCGAGCGGCCGCAAGGAGAGGCUUCUUCUCUUAUCGUAGAGUCGCACACGGGAGUGACUAGUAGCUGAACUUGCUAUGUAACUGGGGUUACUUAAAGGAAACUUUGCUAAAUCCCGCUAAAACUUUGAAGCGCAAAGUAGAGGAGCUAAAUAAGGCCUUACUGUCAUUGAUCGACCGAUGCGCGCUGCAUUAGCUAGUUGGUAAGGUAACGGCUUACCAAGGCAACGAUGCAUAGCCGACCUGAGAGGGUGAUCGGCCACACUGGAACUGAGACACGGUCCAGACUCCUACGGGAGGCAGCAGUAGGGAAUCUUCCGCAAUGGGCGAAAGCCUGACGGAGCAACGCCGCGUGAGUGAUGAAGGUCUUCGGAUCGUAAAACUCUGUUAUUAGGGAAGAACAUAUGUGUAAGUAACUGUGCACAUCUUGACGGUACCUAAUCAGAAAGCCACGGCUAACUACGUG